GAGCUGGGGGAAAGGAUUUACAGCCCUGGGGAGGGGGAGGCUGGUCUGGUGGUUAAGGGAUGGGGUAGGUCUCAUGAACCCAGGGGUCAGUUUCCCGCUCUGUAUCUCCCAUUCCCAGCUCUCGGGCUAUAGAUGUAUCUAUCCCUCCACCCACGGGAUUUUCUUUCUAUCCGCCUGGGCAUCUUUCAAUACAAUCUUUCUUAACUCUGCGUGACCUUGGGCAAGCUAUUGAGACGAGCUUUCCCCAGGGAGCUUAAGGAAGUCGGGUUCCCCCAGCCCACUACGAAAUGGACCUCUUAGUUCAAAUUUAUACGGUGGUGGCUGAUAAAGCCACGGCCAGGUUCAGUCUCACUGUACAGACAAGGUAGCGGAGGAAGACAGUGGCAGAGCCAGGAAAAGAGGAAGUGAUUUUCAGAACAUCUUAUGAGAAUUGGGUGCCCAAAUAAUAUGAUAUCUAGGUGCCUAACUCCCUUAGGAUCGUUUGAGAACUGUGAAGCAAGUGGUAUAUUUCACUGGGAUCUGCACUCAAUUCCUUUGUGAGGGGAAAUCACCCAACUGAAAGGAUUUUCUGUCACGCUGGGGGCGGGUCCAAGAGGAUGCUCUACUGCGACUGAGGUACGGAUUUGGCCACUAGGGGUCAGCGUUUAGCAGUGGAACCAACACACUGAGGUUGCGCACAGGGACACACGGCUGUGAUGGGAGAGAAGGGGCUGGUCGCUGAUUGGCUGGGCACACGAGGGGGGAGAAGGACGUGUCCGAUCCCUCCAGCACAGGAGACCCCAACACACCUGCCGGCCCCAGGGAGAACCCAGCAGCGUCCCCGCGCCCUGGGGUGUCAGGCAGCGCAGGGAUGGGGAGGCGGCGGGGGCUGUCCUGGGUUAUCCAGCUAAUGCACCUGUGGGUGGCCAGCGGGCAGCUCUCUGUGGAGCAGAGCCCGGAAUGGCUGGAUGUCCCCGAGGGGCAGAAUGGCACCGUGACCUGCACUUACUCCAGCGCUAUCCAAAGUUUACACUGGUUCCGGCAGGCUCCCGGGGAGCGGCCCCUUUUCCUGCUGAUGCUGCACGGCAAGGGGAGGGAGACACAAGAACCGAAUUUCACUGCGGAUCACGAUCCGGGGCCGAAGCGGAGCUCCCUGCACAUCCGCGGCUGCCGGCUGGGGGACACCGCCCGCUACCUCUGCGCCGUGGAGACCCAGUGACACAGGGGGCAGCGUAGCCUGUACAGUAACUCUGGGUGGGACCCGGGAGGGGGCUGCGGGGCGCUGGGGGCGCGCCGGGCGGUGUGGGACAGAGCCCCGUGGGCAGACGGGGACAGGAGUUUAUAGCCCUGU